GGAGACUCCGGAGAUGAUGUCCGAGAAACACCGUCGACUAAUUUAAGUACCUUAUUAAUUCAAUUAUUAUUAUUUUUUUGUUUGUUUUAUUUCUCUCUUCACGACGAGAAAUAAUGUUUUUCACAACUUUUUUUGGAACGGCAAACGGUGCUCACCGUCUCUUGGUCACCUAAGAAAGGUUCGUCACAGUGGUGGCGUGCCGGGAGUGGAGCGUAACCUCCACCACAGGACAGCUCGCGAACUUCACCGCCGGGAAGUCUUCUGGACGGUAAAUAUCUGUUAAAAACAGACUGGGAUGUCCAUGCGCAGAGGCCUGCAGCAUUGUGGGUAACAUGGACUUUGUCUGGAGGACAUUCCCUUGCUUGUGGC